rnacentral:lncRNA from 1 species
GUCCAGGAGGCAGAACUCUGGGUGUCUCACCAUGGCCUGGAUCCUUCUACUUCUCCCCCUCCUCACUCUCUGCACAGGCUCUGAGGCCUCCUAUGAGCUGACACAGCCACCUUCAGUGUCAGUGUCCCCAGGACAGACGGCCAGGAUCACCUGCUCUGGAGAUGCAUUGCCAAAGCAAUAUGCUUAUUGGUACCAGCAGAAGCC